UGUGACUGGGAGCUUAUUGUAUCUGACAUUAUUAUACUGAUGUAACAGGGUGUAAGCAGAACUUGACAGUUGUAGCUGCUCAAAGUUCCACACCUCUACUUGAUUUGACCUCUUUGGGCUUCAAAAUGUGACAAGCAGCCCCAUUAGGAUGCUGCUUUAUUUGUGAGGAGUCAUGACAUGAAUGGCUGGUUUCAUCUGGACAAUAUAUUGUGUUUAAUGAGAUUAUCACAUUUUUACUGCAAAAUCUUAAUCUGACAAAUAAAUAUAGCUACAGUUGAAAAGUAGUUUUCCCACUGAAAGGCGAUGCGGGAGGAAUAUUAAAUAACACCAACAUCUGAUUUACUACCACUCCGUGAUACUACAUACGGUACAUAAACAGCCAAAUCAUGCUGCUGUUUGCCACAAAGUCACUGUGAUUGUGUAAUUUACCAGCAGGUGGCAGUCCAACUCAAACCUAACUCUAUCUCCUCCUCUUUUCCAUUCAGGGCCAGUUUCCUGUUCCUGCAGGUGCAGCGCUCCGCCCCCAGGGCGCCACCUGGCCGGUAACUAAAGCUGGCAGCCGCGGUUAUUUGGUGAUUUUAGUUCCAGAUUUGAGGAUUUCCAUCGUAACACAUGACAUAUUUCAAAGCAUUUUGGGUCAGUAACAUGCAGCCGAGUCGUGUUUGUUGAGUUUUGUGCUGCAGUUCACCGCCUCCAGGUGUUCGAGAGUGAUGCCAGGGAUCAUGCAGUUCCUCCAGCUCGGUGUCCUGCAGGAUGGAGGUGUUCCUGACCCAGGAUGCAGGACUGUGCUGCUUCUGCACAGUGAUACCCAGAGGAGUCCAGCUUCUGCACUGGGUGGAGACCACCUUCAUCCAGCACCUCCACCCUGGAAAAUGGCUCAAAGCCAAGUCUACCAUCACUUUCUGCACCAUGAGAUAACAGAGCACAUGCACCAAAACAGCAGCUCCAUUGUGCUAGGGAGUGGAAGCAGAAAACUAUAUGCAUGGCUAGAUGCGGAAGGAGUUGACAAUAAAAACAGGCGUGACAACAGAAGACGGCGUCCUGGGAUCAGAUCUUGUUGAAAGCUGCUACAUCAACACUCUGGACCUGCAAUGGAGCAAAAAGGUCUGUGUUUUGGAACAGCAAGUACAACAGAUUGGCUAGUAACACUUCAAAUACUGAAGAUAUCCAAAAAAAACCUGCUUAUUCUCAGUCAAGUUCUAAAGCAUUGCAGUUCCUGUGCCAUUAAGUGUACAUUAUGUCAUAGUUACGAGGUGAGGUGCAUUGUCUUUUGUGAAUGCAAUGUGCUUCCAUUAACGUACCAUUCCUUGACAUUAGUCACUGAUUAAAACUGGUAUGCUGCUCUUGUGGUUCAGUGAUUGUGAGAAGACACCAGCACUUCUCUCUAAUGAAUAUGCAAGCCUGCUGAAAAAGCUACACUGUUGUAAAUCUUUUAAUAAACACUCUCUUGCACAAUUCGACAUACCAAAAUAAUGCAAAUGUAAUAGUUUGACUGGGUUGCUCUAUUUCUAUUGUGGAUUGGUUGGACUGGCUAGGGUGGCUAGGCUAACAGGUUACCUGAGGCCAGGUCUAGUGUUUGCUUUGUUUACAUUGUUAAACAUCUGAAAUGUGCCAGUGUCACAACAGCAUCGCACAUAAUCUACUAGUUAAGAACAAAUAAGUUCAUGUUCAUUAAAAGACGUGUUAUGAUUGUCAAAGACAACAAGCACAGCAAAUCACUUUUUAUCAAACUUGCAGAUUCAUUAGGGGAGAGGUACAGUGGGGCAGUCGUAUACUGGUUACUAUUGGGCCACAUGGAAUACCAGUUUUGAUCAGUGAUGAUAGGAAAUGCUAUUUCAGUUAAAGAGUGCCAUAUGCUGCCAGGGGAUUAGUACAUGCCAUCAGCCACUUUCUGAUUUUAGUGUCUAGUGGUCUGUUAAUCUGCAUGACCUUUACAAAGACACGUAAAUGCGCUGCACAGU